rnacentral:rRNA from 1 species
UACAGAGGUCCCAAGCGUUGUUCGGAUUCACUGGGCGUAAAGGGUGCGUAGGUGGCUACUUUAAGUUUGAUGUGAAAGCUCCGGGCUCAACCCGGAAAUGGCAUUGAAGACUAUUGAGCUAGAGGUUUGGAGGGGGGACUGGAAUGCUUGGUGUAGCAGUGAAAUGCGUAGAUAUCAAGCGGAACACCAGUGGCGAAGGCGAGUCCCUGGACAACACCUGACACUGAGGCACGAAAGCUAGGGGAGCAAACAGG